rnacentral:lncRNA from 1 species
GUGAAAAUCCGAAAAUGGCCUGGAUGGUCCUGCGAUGUAAAACUACUUGUUUGGGGGUGAUGCAUACCAAAGUGUUUAUAAUUUACUUUGAAGUCAUUUAGGGAAAAUUUUGAGGCAAAAUACUAAUGAAUGUUGAGGCUACAUAGUAUGUAGAUCAUGUGCUUAAUCAUUUUAAAAAAAUCUACACUCAGAAAUAAAACCAAUGAAGAGAAUUGUUGCCCCUGCUCAACAAACCAUUGAAGGGAACUGCCUAUGGGGGAAACAUACCAACAGCCUUUCAAGUACAGGACUCCGUGGGGUCUAUACUGUCUAACAAUACCCUAGGUCAAGAGAAAAGCCAGUCCUUAACAUCCAAAUCAAGCCCUGGUUUUCUUAGCAAACUCCAGUAGUAGGACGGGGUGGGUAGGGAACACUAAAGAGGCUAAAACAAAUUUCUCUAUCAGCAGGUACAGACUAACAAUGGAAACAGGCAGUAUGAUUAUGGAGUCUAAAGGAAAUCAAGUACUGUGCACAGUACACCUGUAAUUUCAGGACUCAGGAGGACUGUGAAUUCUAGACCAGCACAGACUAUACAGUGAGCUUGAGGCCACCCGGAGCUACCCAUACAGCAGAGCCCUGUCUGGGGUUGGGGCCAGGAGAGUCUUACUGUAGUGUCACGCAGCUGCUGAGCAAGCUUCUUUCUUGUUUGCUGUAGUCGGGCCUGGGUCACGUUGUCUUUGAAGGCUCUAAAGCAAGAAUACUACCCAGAGACAUGACAAGAGGGGUUAUAAAGGUGCAUUAGGAGCUGUGGAAGUGUGAACAAGGAAAGCAUCACUGGAAGCCACUGUGGUUCGGGACUGCUCCAGUUCUCUGCAGUUUUGCUACCAAGUUCCUAAUAGAAACUAGCUUACCCAGCAGGCUCAGUAACACUGCCUUCACACAAAAAACACAGCGUUGCCUCUAACUGGGGGACUUCCCUUGACCCAUAUGAAAAAGAAUUCUAAGAGGUUGAAUGUUGGCUGGGCAUGGUGAUACAUGCCUCUAAUCCCAGACUUGGGAACCACAUAAGAGUUAAUGUAAUGUAAUACAUUUACGUAAUUAUAAAAGCAGUUUGCCAGAAUGAUCUCAGGUGAAUCUGUGAUGGUUGGUACUCAUUGUCAACUUGUCAGAAUCUACAAUUAUUUGUGAGAUGGGUAUCUGUUCCUGUCUCCUAAGGACUGUAUUCCUUGUAUUAACUUACAUGGGAAAACCAACCUGUUUUCAACAGAAAAAGACACUAGGACGGAAUCCUUGGGGCCACAUUCCCAACUCUGUCACCAAUUGCAUACAUACUAUAUAAGCAAAGUACCAGAGAGAAGAGAUUAGACAGAGCUAAGGGUUUUCACACUGUGUUCUGUGGUUAGACAGAGCUAGGGGUAUUCACUGUGUUCUGUGGAGCACCAGAGGUUCCUAAAAGCCUCUGAAGACCAGCUCCUACAGGAGAGGCAGCCCACAAAACAGGAAUCAACUCCCCAGACCUUGACUUAGGUUUAAGAUCAAGACUUUGAUCUCUGCCACUCAAAAGAGGUCUACUGUGUAAAGACCCAGGGUCAGUUCCCCUUUCAACUCCAAAUCUCUGACUUUACUCAUUACUUUCUCAGCUUCAAAAUGCAAGCACAGACUACAGCUAACUGAGAACUGCUCCACUCAGGGGCUAUGGCGCAGGAGCCCUGAGCGCACGCCUCCGCAGCUGCCCCAGGCUCUUACCAGCAGGUAGUGCUGGCGGUGUUCAGCUGCUGCCUCGCGCUGGGCAGCCUCUUCUGCCUGUAGCAACAUGUCUGACAGGAAGUUAAGGCCUCCAGUCUAACAAGGUUUCUACACAAUAUAUAUACUUCCUGUGGGCCACCUAGGGGCAUGCCUCUAAGUAUAACAGGCCUGCUGAGUGGGCUGACAGUCACCUGUCUUCUCUUAGUGACCCAGGGAAGUUCUAUCAAAAAGCCAGGUCAUGCCCAUUUUAUGUAAGGCAAAAAGUACCUGAGAUUACUUGCUAUUACUUUCUAUAAGCAUUUGGAAUCAUCAUCUAGCAAGCAGAACUUGCAUUGUCUGGUACCACGAUCCAGUCAGAUGGCUGAGCUAAAAGCUUGGGUGUGCAGAUCUUUUCUCCUCCCACAACCCUCAUGUACUCAGCAGCAAACCACCUCUCUGCUCUGCUCAACUUUCUCUCGCAGCCGCUCCGCUUCUGACUCGGCCCUUACGUGACUGCACACAGGUGGGCUUUCUGGGCAAGUCUCUAGGGCCAUCUAUCUUCUCUUUUAAAAUACUUCUCUGUGUUACAUGCAUCUCUAUUUGUGUGUAUGUAUGUGCCGUGGUGAAGGUCAGAGGACGACUUGCAGGAGUCUGUUCUUCCUUCUAUCAAGUAGGUUCCAAGGCUCAAACUCAGGUCAUCAGACUUGGCAGCAAGCUAUCUCACUGGCCCUAGAAACAUCUUUUCUAAAGCACAAAUUUCAGUGCACUGAUUCUUAUGAACUCGUCUGAAGCUCUGAGCUCGUCAGGAUAAAGAGUAAAUCCCUGAGGGGGGCACAGAGGGAACGAAAGCCCCUAGCCCACCCUGACCCUCCCCGAGUACAACAAUCAACAUUUUUUUUUUUGAGACAGGGUCUCACUACAUAGCCUUGGCUGGCCUGGAACUCAUUAAUAGACAAGGCAGACCUCAAACUCAAAGAGAUUUGCCUGUGUCUGCCCUGAGUGCUGAGACUCGAGGCAUGUGCCACCAGGCCACCACAUUAAAGUUUUUAAAUAUAUGACUUAUUUUUAUACUCAUUGGUGUUUUGACUGCAUGUAUGUCUCUGUGGGGGCAUUACAAGUCCUGGAACUGGAGCUACAGACAGAUGUGAGCUGGGAAUUGAACCGGGGUUCUCUGAAAGAGCAGCCAGUGCUCUUAACUGCGGAGCCAUCUCUUCAGCCCUUAUUGCAUAUUCUUGAACAUUAGUAGUUCAUCAAUAACCCUGUAUGAAUACCCAGUCUCUGCCAGAAGAACCUGCAGUCACCUAGGACUGACACUCAGCUCGGAUGCUUCAUCCUUGCCUCAACUUCCUAGGAUGCCAAAAACUUUUAUUUAAAACAAAAAUGUCUGAGCUAGGGGCUGGAACUAGGGGCUGGAGCUAGGGGCUGGAUGGUGUGGUCAUGCUAGCCUUGCAUUUAAGAUGCUUCUGCCUCCUUGUUCCUGAGAUAUGGGCACACGGGAUGGUUUUCAUACAACCCUUCCAUAGCACAAUCACACUAUACUGACAAGACCCACUUUCAUAGCAGUUCCCCCACUGGACAAUGACUGCUGUGAGGCUUUGGGUUGCCCUCAUGUGUUCAUUAGUUUUUUUCAAAGUUUGACAGAGCCAGAAUUAUUUAGAAAGAGGAACUCUCAACUGAGAAAUUGCCUCCAUCUGACUGGCCUGCAGGUAAGUCUGUGGGACAUUUUCUUAAUAAAGACUCAGGUGGGAGGGCCCAGUCCACUACAAGUGGUCCCACCACUGGGCAGGUGGUCCUGGGCUGUUUAAAGAGCAGGCUGAACAAGCCUUGGAGAACAAACCAGGGAUGAUCGUUCCUCUGCUUCAGUUCCUGCCUUGAGUUCCUAUCCUGAUGCCCCUUAAUGAUAGAGUAGAAACUGUCAGCAUCUCUCUAAAAUGUUGUUGGUCAUGGUGUUUAUCACAGAAAUAGAAACCUACCUAGCUCACCAAACACAAGAAAUUAAGCUGAAGUAGAGCAUGAGUCAUGACCUGAAUAGACAAUGUAAGGAUGGAUGUCUAAGGCAUCCAGCUCCUCACACUAGGGACACUCUGGGGAGAUGGACAUUCCAGUACAAAGAAGGAUACAGUGCUUCCAGUGUGUAAAGGCCCUCCGCAGGACCAUCCUCCCGGCCAGCUUCACCACCAGGGCCUGGUGGGCAGACAAGCUCUGCCUCCACUCCCAGGCCCACUGCCAGUCACAGAAAUGUAUCUGGAGCACAGUAGCACGGUGGAAUUGUACAGCCAUCUCUGCAACAGAGAAAUAACUCCUGGGUGCUGCUCCCCAAGCAGGGAGAAGUCACAGAGAUUGGACCCUACUUACUGGAGUGAGCAGGAUUCAAGAGCGUUCCCACAAAGAAUCCUUAUGAAAGGUCUUAAGUUAACAGUGUAGUUCAGUGAUAGUGUGUGCUUAGAGAAUGUGAAACUCCUUUGGUUCAACCCC